rnacentral:SRP_RNA from 1 species
GCCGGGCGUGGUGGCGGGCGCCUGUAAUCCCAGCUACUUGGGAGGCUGAGGCACAAGAAUUGCUUGAACCCAGGAGGUGGAGGUUACAGUGAGCCAAGAUUGUGCCACUGCACUCCAGCCUGGGUGACAGAGCAAGACUCUGUCUCAU